rnacentral:misc_RNA from 1 species
CAUUAGAGAAUCAGUGAAAAAGAAUGUGCGUUGACCUGAUGUCAAACGAAAUCUUUCCUCCUGAAAAGGAACUGAUUGUGUAUUCUUCAGUGUUUCCCGACACCGAAUGUAUGCCAACUUCAAGAGCUGACAAAGAGAAUGGAAGUAAAGGCCAUGGUGUUACAGGUAACGAGUUACACUGAACGAAGAACAACUGCACAGCCACCAGUGUUCGUAGAUAUCUGCGACAACAGCAUCGUGCCAGAAUUUGCAAGUCAUCUGUUUAUUGGGACUGCUAGUGAUCACCUUCAUUCUGCCUGUGUUUUGGCGACGAAAGGUGCCCUCACACCAUGGUCACAUCGACAUAGAAGCCGAGACUUUAUCCUAUUAGAAAAGCUUGCUGUACAUGAUAUCAAACGCUUUCCGCUAGGGCGAAGAUCGUCUCGCCCGAAUGCCACUUUCAUUAUGCAAAGUAGGGCAAGCGGAUCGUACGAUAGCAAAUCGUUUAAUGUCACCGAGACGAACGUGCCGGCUACUGCAUUUUGCCGGUUAAAUAUGCAAGUCCAAAGUCUUCCCAGACGAUACGCUAAAGUCCUGAUACGGAAUGACUGUCUGCCGUCAUUGUGUUCUUUGGCCGCCGUAGUGGAAAAACAUACGCGUGGAUUUUCAGCCAAUUCAGCCGGGCAUUGAAUUUAUUGGCUCUUUUAUAUUCGGAUGGGUCCCCAGACAUCAACCGAAUGCAAAGGUUGCUACCCAGUUUGUCUACGUUGCAAAUUCCACGUACGCAAAGUUGUCCUGCUGCUACCCAAAUUUAAUAAAAAACUUAACAGCUGAUCCAGAGUACUAUAUAAGACGGAACGCUACGGGAAAUGUUUCAGAAGUUCUUAGACGUCUUCGACCAGCAUCGGUUACAACAUCUUUUAUUCGUACUGAAAUGUUGUCCAGUUUUUCUUUGAUGCUCGCUGCUGUUUUGUUGGCGCAAAUCAGCCGGGCUUGUGAUGGUGAUAACGAGGAACAACUCCUUACGAUGCAGGAUCCGGAAGUUUCUUACGCCCGAGCCUACGGCUAUACUCCUGAUACGUGGAACGCCCUAGACAACCAACCAGCGAGUGCUGGUUCACCAGAUGAUGGCUAUUCGAAUCUGUACGAAGGGAGGACACGUAACAAGCAGCAACACGUCGUUAAGACGUUACAUUCCGCUGAAAAUGGUGUGCAGUCAAAAGGGCGUUUGGCUCUCGGUGGUCUGGGUGCUAACUUGAUAAAUGCCGGCUUCUUCAACAAUCGAUUUACACCGGCCAAUACUUGGAGACCGUUUGCCACACUCGCCAAUCGCAUUCCAGUUUCUUUUAAUCCCAAUUUUGACAACAUGUUUGAUAUGUUCGAGACUUGCGUUUCACCCAACGGUGACGCUGGAAUAUGUGCACCAGGCUCAGUUUGUUCUGUUUUCGGUGGACGGCCGACUGGUUCCUGUAGUUUUGGAAAAGUCUGCUGCAUCAAUACGAUCAACAAAUGCGGAGGUGUUGUCACUUUAAACAACACCUACUGGCAGAAUCCGUCUACGCCAAUUGAUGCUCCAUCUUCCUGCUCGUUGACGGUGAGGACGGACACGAAACUCGCGGAACAAUCAAAGAAACCAAUUUGCCAAAUUCGUUUGGAUUUCAUCUCUUUCACAAUUGCCCAGCCAACAGCCGGAAAUUGCGUAGAUACAUUUAAGAUUGGCGAGGCAACUACAGUGGCGCCCACCAUCUGUGGUGACAAUAGCGGACAGCACAUGUACCUUGACGUCCCAUCGUCGGCCAUUACCCCCAGCAACGUUCAGUUCAUGUUUACUUUUGCAGCCGAGACAGCCAGUCGUUCGUGGAACAUCAAAAUCGCAAUGCUACCUUGUGGUGCUUCUUACCUCGCUCCAGUGGAUUGCUUGCAAUAUUUCACGGCCGUUAAUGGGAAAGUACGCUCUUUCAACUGGUUGGAUGUUACAAGCACAACGACACGCCAAUUGAACAACCAAGAUUACAAUAUUUGCUUCAGGACUGAACUGAUUUCCGGAUUGAAAGCGACGCAGAUGUGCCUGUCGGUUUGUCCAGUCAGGAAUGGCGACGCGUUUUCCAUCACGACGCCCACCACUACUCCCGCUGCCGUUGCGGCGGCUGCGGUCGUAGCUGCCCAGAAUACUCUCACAGCUUCACUAGCCAUUCAGGCCGUCGCCCAAGCGGCUUUUUUAACCGCUGGAGCUGGCGCUACGGCAGCCCAAGUCCAAGCUGUUAAUGAUGCAAAUAUUGCUGUUAGAAAUGACCAGGCCGUUCUCGCAUCCGCGCAGGCUACUUCCGUUGCCGCCAAUGCUAAUGCGGCAACGCUCUCCGGUAUUGGCACAAGUGCAUUCAUCAAUGCAGUUAAUACUGCCACCUGCCUGUACGAUUUCCUCCUCAUCGGUGGAGCUCGAGAUGCAAAUGAUGUGGGGGCCGAUCGCUAUUGCGGAAAUGCAAUCAAUCCGGCCCUCAUUCCGGUAGCGAUUAGUACUCAAAUCUGCACUCCAGUUAGACCAUUCCGCAUUACAUACCAUACGGAUGGUACCGAAGCGGCUGUGGCUGCUCGGACAAACGUCCUUCCGGUGCCGGCCGAUACAGCCAAUACUGGUUUCUGUCUUAACUACGAAGAAAAAUGAGGAAAGCAACACGAUCUGUGAAUAUCUUAUUUUGCUAAGCAGAAUCCCAAAUAAGUUCCGUUGGUACUAAUUAUUUCAUGGUGAGGGGUUUAUUUAAACUAAGGAUUUUCUAAUAUUAGGCUAAUGCAUUUCAGUUUGGCGGGAAAUCGGUUAGCCUUCAUGUAAAGGUUGGUUAUGUUGAGUAAAAGUGGUUGGAGUGGAUUGAAUAUAAUCAUAGUUUGCUGAAAUUUGGAUUUCUUAAAAAUAUAAGAAAAUUAAGAAUAGUUUUGAUCGCGAGAAAUUACCGGCCAAAGCUGUGAAACAUGUGAAAUACUCUUGAUCAUAAAAUGGGUGCUUCAAGUUUGACAAGCUGUUGACUAUACCUUUGACACAAUAAGAAGACACUAACCGGAAUUGGAUUGAUACCCAGCUACACAAACAUCAGUGCCAAGGAAGGUAAGUGACCUCUUCACGAUAGCAAACGGUAUAAUGAGGCGUAGAACCUUGACAAUCUGAAACAUUGCGUUUGUUUUGCCAACAGAGUUCUUUGAUCUUUUCAUCAUUUAGUCCUUUUUCAGAUGGUGAACCGGUGUCGGAAUAGAAGGGAUUCCUUGAACACUGUUGGUUGAAAUACUACAUUCACCCGAGAGCGCUACAUAAAGAACGGGAUGAAUCGCUGUCCCUUCAUUCCUUAAUUUUUAGAUUUCGCCCACAGCAAAUUUACUGCUCGAAUUAAUAGCCAUUUAAUACCUGAAUAGCCAAGGAAGAAAAAACAACAAUCAAAAUAAC